GUUAAGCUAGAGUAGGUGAGAGGGAAGUAGAAUUCCAGGUGUAGCGGUGAAAUGCGUAGAGAUCUGGAGGAAUACCGAUGGCGAAGGCAGCUUCCUGGCAUCAUACUGACACUGAGGCUCGAAAGCGUGGGUAGCAAACAGGAUUAGAUACCCUGGUAGUCCACGCCGUAAACGAUGUCUACUAGUCGUUGGGUCCCUUGAGGACUUAGUGACGCAGCUAACGCAAUAAGUAGACCGCCUGGGGAGUACGGCCGCAAGGUUAAAACUCAAAUGAAUUGACGGGGGCCCGCACAAGCGGUGGAGCAUGUGGUUUAAUUCGAUGCAACGCGAAGAACCUUACCUGGUCUUGACAUACACAGAAUCUUGUAGAGAUACGAGAGUGCCUUCGGGAAUUGUGAUACAGGUGCUGCAUGGCUGUCGUCAGCUCGUGUCGUGAGAUGUUGGGUUAAGUCCCGCAACGAGCGCAACCCUUGUCCUUAGUUACCAGCGGGUUAAGCCGGGAACUCUAAGGAUACUGCCAGUGACAAACUGGAGGAAGGCGGGGACGACGUCAAGUCAUCAUGGCCCUUACGACCAGGGCUACACACGUGCUACAAUGGUAGGUACAGAGGGCAGCUACACAGCGAUGUGAUGCGAAUCUCAAAAAGCCUAUCGUAGUCCAGAUUGGAGUCUGCAACUCGACUCCAUGAAGUAGGAAUCGCUAGUAAUCGCGGAUCAGAAUGCCGCGGUGAAUACGUUCCCGGGCCUUGUACACACCGCCCGUCACACCAUGGGAGUUGAUUGCACCAGAAGUGGUUAGCCGAACCUUUUAGGACGGC
rnacentral:rRNA from 1 species